AUGGCACUUCCCGGAGCAAGGUGCAAGCCUGUGGUACACAAUUUACAGCGGAGACAAAAACUGGCUGUCCUCAAUCCCUCACCCGCACCGUGGGUGGGUUUUAAAGGACUGAGAGUGGUUGAGGUUAGGGGGGCAAUUUUUGAAGAGAGUGGUUGGUGUGCUGUAAAUCUUCCUCCCCUCAAAAAGGAGUAACGGGGACACUUCCUCUUUGUAGCACUGUUAUCAUCAUCUGUCAGAUCUGAACUUAAACAACAAGAAACAUGUCAGGCUCGGGUUCUGAGCGCCUCUACGCAGAAAGAGUUGAGGAGCCCGGAAUGUGUACCAGUAAGUGUAGCCAGCUGCUGAUCUCUUCCUCCCAACCCAGUGCGGAAAGGCUUAGCAUAGAUGUUUCCAAGAUUAAUACCUCGGACUCCAAGCAGCUCUGAAAGUCCAUCUCUGGCUCUAGUGCUGUCCGGGGCGGAGGAGAAUGUGCAGAUCCCAACACUCGUUAGAGCAAGGCCAUUUUAGAUUGGAAGGAAGCAGGCCUGAGGAAGGAGGGCUGUCCUCCCUGUCCCACCCGAGACCCCCGCGUUAAGGGAACCUGGCGGAAGAGCAGCGCUCUGUCCCCUCACCACUGCGGGCCCAUGCUACCUCACACCAGUUCUUGAUCUCCCUGGACGG